rnacentral:rRNA from 1 species
UGGGUAGUCCGUACGAGCGCACCUUGUCCCUAGUUGCCAGCACUUCGGGUGGGAACUCUAGAGGAGACUGCCGGUGAUAAACCGGAGGAAGGUGGGGAUGACGUCAAGUCAUCAUGGCCCUUAUGGGGAGGGCUACACACGUGCUACAAUGGCCGGUACAGAGGGCUGCGAAGCCGCGAGGCGGAGCGAAUCUCAGAAAACCGGUCGUAGUCCGGAUUGCAGUCUGCAACUCGACUGCAUGAAGCCGGAAUCGCUAGUAAUCGCGGAUCAGAACGCCGCGGUGAAUACGUUCCCGGGCCUUGUACACACCGCCCGUCACACCAUGGGAGUGGGCUGUACCAGAAGUAGGUAGUCUAACCUUCGGGAGGACGCUUACCACGGUGUGGUUCACGACUGGGGUGAAGUCGUAACAAGGUAGCUCUAGGGGAACCUGGGGCUGGAUCACCUCCUU